rnacentral:rRNA from 1 species
GAGUUUGAUCGUGGCUCAGAUUGAACGCUGGCGGCAUGCCUUACACAUGCAAGUCGAACGGCAGCACGGGAGCUUGCUCCUGGUGGCGAGUGGCGAACGGGUGAGUAAUGCAUCGGAACGUAUCCUGGAGUGGGGGAUAACGUAGCGAAAGUUACGCUAAUACCGCAUAUUCUGUGAGCAGGAAAGCGGGGGACCUUCGGGCCUCGCGCUCUUGGAGCGGCCGAUGUCGGAUUAGCUAGUUGGUGAGGUAAAGGCUCACCAAGGCGACGAUCCGUAGCAGGUCUGAGAGGAUGAUCUGCCACACUGGAACUGAGACACGGUCCAGACUCCUACGGGAGGCAGCAGUGGGGAAUAUUGGACAAUGGGCGAAAGCCUGAUCCAGCCAUGCCGCGUGUGUGAAGAAGGUCUUCGGAUUGUAAAGCACUUUAAGUUGGGAGGAAGGGCAGUAAGUUAAUACCUUGCUGUUUUGACGUUACCGACAGAAUAAGCA